AUUCCACAAGAUAACAGUAAAAGAUUUAAAAAAAAAAUUUGCUAACGCAGCCCCCAGGGAAGGAUUCCCCAAACAGAGAACCUUUUUCACAACAAAGAUACUUAACAGAAUUCUCCAUACAUGCCAAACCUGCUCCCACACCCCUUUAUUUAUACUAUCUCUCUUUCCUACUCAUCUAGUUGUUGGCACCCCUUCACGUGCUACAGACAUUAGCAACCUCCAUUCUGUUAUUGCCUUUAUUUGCUCUUCUAGAUUAUACUUGAAAGGUCUUUGGUUUGAAUCAACUACUGCAUCCCUAUCAUUGCCAACCCCAAGAGAACUAGCCUUGUCCCCAAGGGUAAAAUGUGGAAAUUGACCCUCAAAGUCCGGCUCAUCAAUCCAAGUGGCAUCAUAGUUAUCAAAGGCUCAAG
rnacentral:misc_RNA from 1 species